GACGAACGCUGGCGGCGUGCUUAACACAUGCGAGUCGAACGGAAAGGCCCUGCUUUUGUGGGGUGCUCGAGUGGCGAACGGGUGAGUAACACGUGAGUAACCUGCCCUUGACUUUGGGAUAACUUCAGGAAACUGGGGCUAAUACCGGAUAGGAGCUCCUGCUGCAUGGUGGGGGUUGGAAAGUUUCGGCGGUUGGGGAUGGACUCGCGGCUUAUCAGCUUGUUGGUGGGGUAGUGGCUUACCAAGGCUUUGACGGGUAGCCGGCCUGAGAGGGUGACCGGCCACAUUGGUACUGAGAUACGGCCCAGACUCCUACGGGAGGCAGCAGUGGGGAAUAUUGCACAAUGGGCGGAAGCCUGAUGCAGCAACGCCGCGUGCGGGAUGACGGCCUUCGGGUUGUAAACCGCUUUCGCCUGUGACGAAGCGUGAGUGACGGUAAUGGGUAAAGAAGCACCGGCUAACUACGUG
rnacentral:rRNA from 1 species